AGGGUUUGAUCAUGGCUCAGAACGUACGCUGGCGGCACGCCUAACACAUGCAAGUCGAACGAAGUAGCAAUACUUAGUGGCAGACGGGUGAGUAACAUGUAGGUAUCUGCCCUUUGGCCUGGAAUAACACGAGGAAACUUGUGCUAAUACCGGAUAAGUCUUUACGGAGAAAGCUUUAUGCACCAUUGGAUGAGCCUGCACUUGAUUAGUUUGUUGGUGGGGUAAUGGCCUACCAAGACUGUGAUCAAUAGCUGAUUUGAGAGGAUGAUCAGCCACAUUGGGACUGAGACACGGCCCAAACUCCUACGGGAGGCAGCAGUGGGGAAUCUUGCACAAUGGAGGAAACUCUGAUGCAGCGAUGCCGCGUGAGUGAAGAAGGCCUUUGGGUUGUAAAGCUCUUUCGUCGGGGAAGAAAAUGACUGUACCCGAAUAAGAAGGUCCGGCUAACUUCGUGCCAGCAGCCGCGGUAAUACGAAGGGACCUAGCGUAGUUCGGAAUUACUGGGCUUAAAGAGUUCGUAGGUGGUUGAAAAAGUUAGUGGUGAAAUCCCAGAGCUUAACUCUGGAACUGCCAUUAAAACUUUUCAGCUAGAGUAUGAUAGAGGAAAGCAGAAUUUCUAGUGUAGAGGUGAAAUUCGUAGAUAUUAGAAAGAAUACCAAUUGCGAAGGCAGCUUUCUGGAUCAUUACUGACACUGAGGAACGAAAGCAUGGGUAGCGAAGAGGAUUAGAUACCCUCGUAGUCCAUGCCGUAAACGAUGUGUGUUAGACGUUGGAAAUUUAUUUUCAGUGUCGCAGGGAAACCGAUAAACACACCGCCUGGGGAGUACGACCGCAAGGUUAAAACUCAAAUGAAUUGACGGGGACCCGCACAAGUAGUGGAGCAUGUGGUUUAAUUCGAAGAUACGCGCAGAACCUUACCAACACUUGACAUGUUCGUCGCGACUCUAAGAGAUUAGAGUUUUCGGUUCGGCCGGACGAAACACAGGUGCUGCAUGGCUGUCGUCAGCUCGUGUCGUGAGAUGUUGGGUUAAGUCCCGCAACGAGCGCAACCCUCACUUUUAGUUGCCAUCAUUAAGUUGGGCACUCUGAAAGAACUGCCAGUGAUAAGCUGGAGGAAGGUGGGGAUGACGUCAAGUCCUCAUGGCCCUUACGGGUUGGGCUACACACGUGCUACAAUGGUAAGUACAAUGAGAUGCCGAACAGCGAUGUUUAGCCAAACUCAAAAACUUACCUCAGUUCGGAUUGCACUCUGCAACUCGAGUGCAUGAAGCUGGAAUCGCUAGUAAUCGUGGAUCAGCGUGCCACGGUGAAUACGUUCCCGGGUCUUGUACACACCGCCCGUCACACCAUGGAAGUUAGAUUUACCUUAAGGCAAGUUAUGAACCCUCGGGACAUGCUUGACCACGGUAAGUUUAGCAACUGGGGUGAAGUCAUAACAAGGUAGCCGUA
rnacentral:rRNA from 1 species